GACGAACGCUGGCGGCGUGCCUAAUACAUGCAAGUUGAGCGCUGAAGGUUUGUACUUUUACCGACUGGAUUAGCAGCUAACGGGUGAGUAACGCGUGGGUAAUCUGCCUUUUAGCGGGGGACAACAUUUGGAAACGAAUGCUAAUACCGCAUAAAAACUUUAAACACAAGUUUUAAGUUUGAAAGAUGCAAUUGCAUCACUCAAAGAUGAUCCCGCGUUGUAUUAGCUAGUUGGUGAGGUAAAGGCUCACCAAGGCGAUGAUACAUAGCCGACCUGAGAGGGUGAUCCGCCCCCUUGGGACUGAGACACGGCCCAAACUCCUACGGGAGGCAGCAGUAGGGAAUCUUCGGAAAUGGACGAAAGUCUUACCGAGCAACGACGGGUGAGUGAAGAAGGUUUUCGGAUCGUAAAACUCUGUUGGUAGAGAAGAAAGUUGGUGAGAGUGGAAAGCCCAUCAAGUGACGGUAACUAACCAGAAAGGGACGGCUAACUACGUG
rnacentral:rRNA from 1 species